rnacentral:lncRNA from 1 species
GCCCCUGUACAGCCUCGUCACCUCUCCUGGAGAUCAAGGUACCACUACUGUUACUCGACCUAAGGCCUCUGGGUGCCAUGCAUGGCACUGUUUGUGCUUUCCCGGCAUUGCAGCCUUGCGCUCUAUCGUUCAUGCUCAACUGUGGGCGCGUCUCUGGUGUCAGGGUUCACGGAGGCGAAGCGGGGAUGCUGCGGGACGGGGAAGGUGGAGUUCACGGUGUUCCUCUGCAACCCCAAGUCGGUGGGGACGUGCCCGAACGCGACGACCUACGUGUUCUGGGACGCCGUCCACCCAUCGGAGGCGGCCAAUCAAGUGAUCGCCGACGCGCUCCUCGUCACCGGCAUCGACCUCGUCACAUAAUAAACCACGCACUGGUCAUCUAAGGUCAUCGGUCGGAGGACGACGAUGGCGCAAGCUUUUCAGGCGUCCUGAGGGGAAAAUAAUGUGUGCCCAGAGCUCCCGUUGCCAAGCGUGCCCAUGUGGCGGGAGGGGUUACUUUCUCGGGCUGUGCCACUCACUAUAUCGCCAGCGUUGUAGCUAGGGACUGGGACACAUGGAGACAUGGCUUAUACCUACGAAAAGCUCGAAGUUAUGGGUGCAAGCACUGGAUCUUUUCUUUUCUUUUUCUUGCAUGUCCUUCAAAUUUGAUGAUCACCGUGUUUUUUCACAAAUGAUUGCAUGGCUCCUUUUGAACAGAAACCGUGUUUCCUUCAAGUUAUAUCUAUGUGCUGACAUGCCAAACAAUUCUUUUU